GAACUCCUUUAUGGCAGGAAUGUCCGUGGCCCUUUGUCCAUCCUUCACGAGUUGCUGACCAACGAGGAGCUAGACCAAGAACUACGCAGUUCCUACCGGCACGUGUUAGAACUACGUGAAAGGUUAGAAGAUGCUGCAGGAGCCGCUCUAGCUAACGCGAAGGUAAGCACCAAGAAAUACAAACAAUGCUUUGACCGUAAAGCAAAGCCACGUAAUCUAUCUUGUAGGUGACGAGGUGUUACUUCUGUCUAGCAGUACAAAUAAGCUUCCUUACAAUGGAAGGGUCCUUGUAAGGUAGCUGAACGUAGGUGACGGUGUUACUUCUGUCUAGCAUUACAAAUAAGCUUCCUUACAAUGGAAGGGUCCUUUUAAGGUAGCUGAACGCAAAGGUAAUGUUGAUUAUAUCAAGGUAAACGGGAAGCUGAAAUUAUUCCAUAUUAACAUGGUGAGAAAGUUUUACAGGUGAGGUGAAGUUAACACUUGACUCGGAUCAGGGUGCUCCCUUGUUCAGUCUAUCACUACAGGGUUAAUACAGAUGGAGGAAGGAGCGGAUGAAAUUUUAGUGCUCGUCAACGAUGGUCUCCACCAGCACUACAACAUUUUGCAUUCUACUUGAAAGGAAAAGAAUUUAUUAUACAGACGGAUCACCAGCCGAUGACUUAUCUCAGGAAUAUGCAAAACAACAAAAAGUAGAUUGAUGAGGUGGGCUCUAACCCUAGUCAUAUGGGUUUACCAUAUAAUAUAUUCCAGGUAAGGAGAAUUUCUUGGCAGAUCUGUUAAGUAGGCCAUGAAGCACGUCUUGGAAGCGGCCACCAUCCUGGUGAGAUCUUUAUAUUUUGUCAUAAUAUGAAGUUGAAUGGGGGGAUAUGUCAGGGAUGGUCGUUCUUCCAAGACCGUGAAGUCACCAGUUGACUUAUAAUUAGCGCGGAUAUUUUCGUGAACGAAGCCUCGCCUGACGAGUACCGGGCGGUUUCAUUAGGAGGCGACAUGGGUAACCGGUAGUGGCUUCCCGUCAGUUCCUCCUCUCGCCAGCGAGCACGUUACUUCCCCUCUUUCUUGUAUUUGGGGAAAGGGUCUUGUGUGUGUGACUGUGGCUCGCGUCUGGCUGUGGUGUAUGUCGCACCGAGAGAGAGAGAGGGCUCACUCCAGCACGUUGCGACGGAGUCACGAGAAGGUGCCGGCUGUCUUGCCUGUCACAAGACGCCAGCUGACCAGGACUCAGAGUGAGAAGGCAACGAGCGGGCACCAGCGCAGCUUGUCGGCGCGUUAUAGCUUGCCGGGGUGACGAUGAUCAGAGCCGUGAGUGUUAUGUACGCAGCCAGUUCGCUAGGAGCUGUUUCCUGCCCUCUUGUCUGUACUGGACAUCGUGCACAGUGACCGGCGCAGUGUGGUGUCCGGCAUAAGCACUACGUGGCCUGGGUGUCCACUGGAGUGGCUGUGACUGUGGAU